rnacentral:lncRNA from 1 species
AGUUGUUUUUUUUUUUUUUUGAGAGAGAUAGAUAGCACGCUAUUCAUUUCGUUUAUUUCAUUUAGAAAUAAAUUUAGCUAGAAAUGUGAAUCAUCUAGAAUUCGAAUUUGGAAUCUCGAGUAUCAAUUAUCAAGUCCUUUGCCACUUGCUCUAGGGACGGUCAGUCUGCUCGAGUUUCGGUGCGCAGAAUUUGGUGCGUUGUUAAUGCAGUUGAGAUUAACUACCUUUCUCGGAAUUGGAAUCGGAAUCGAAAUCGGAAUCGGAAUCGACUUGAAUUCGGAAUCUCGAGUACCAAUUAUCAAGUCUUUUGCCACUUGCUCUAGGGACGGUCAGUCUGCUCGAGUUUCGGUGCGCAGAAUUUGGUGCGUUGUUAAUGCAGUUGCGAUUAACUACCUUUCUCGGAAUUGGAAUCGGAAUCGGAAUCGACUUGUUUUGAUCGGGUAAAAAUAAAUUAGAACUCAGCCUGUAACAUACGUAUUCCCGUUAAAUCCCGGCCAAAACACCUCUUAACAUAAAUUGAACCAAAUCACACAGACGCUAUAGCAACGUUAAACCCUGGCCAAAGCACCUCUUAACAUAAAUUGAACCAAAUCACACAGACGCUAUAGCAACCGUAUGCAAUAUAGCUUAAUUUCAGCCAUACAAGAUAAGUGAUAAUAAAUUAUCUAUAGAUGAACUUAUCAAUUCUUUGUGGUAUAGUAUAUAAAAAAUUAAUAUGGUCUUUGCUUUCUGAAGGAAAAAAAAGAAAAAAAUAAAGAAAAAAAAUGAAUUGGUACCUUACACUAAGUCUUUAAUUGAUUAUCUUAUUCUCUAAUGAAAUAAAUAUAUUAAUUUGAUCAGAUUAAUCUACUUUCUUGAUGAAGGAUAACGGUGCAAAUUGGCUAAGAAAAAUAAAAAACUGGAAGGCUAUGAAUGCAUGACAAAGAAAAGGAGAAUAAGCUAAUCUACUAUGUUGCGAAAGCAAGAAAAAAUAUAGUAUUAUUGACCAAAAAUUUGACAAAUUUUUUAUUCUACUCUAGUAAAUAUUUAUAGUGCACUUAUAAUUAAAAAGUUUUGUAACCGUUAUCUAUGCAAAAUAAAAGACAAUAUAAAAGGGUAAAUGGGGAAUUUAAUUCUCAUAUUUAAUUU